rnacentral:rRNA from 1 species
UUUUUGGAGAGUUUGAUCCUGGCUCAGGACGAACGCUGGCGGCGUGCCUAAUACAUGCAAGUCGAGCGAAUCCUUCGGGGUUAGCGGCGGACGGGUGAGUAACACGUAGGCAACCUGCCCGUAA